AUUGAACGCUGGCGGCAGGCCUAACACAUGCAAGUCGAACGAGUGGCGGACGGGUGAGUACUGUCUGGGAAACUGCCCGAUGGAGGGGGAUAACUACUGGAAACGGUAGCUAAUACCGCAUACCAUCGGAUGUGCCCAGAUGGGAUUAGCUAGUAGGUGGGGUAACGACUCACCUAGGCGACGAUCCCUAGCUGGUAUGAGAGGAUGACCAGCCACACUGGAACUGAGACACGGUCCAGACGCCUACGGUAGGCAGCAGUGGGGAAUAGUGCACAAUGGGCGCAAGCCUGAUGCAGCCAUGCCGCGUGUAUGAAGAAGGCCUUCGGGUUGUAAAGUACUUUCAGCGAGGAGGCGGUACUCGCAGAAGAAGCACCGGCUAACUCCGUGCCAGCCGCCGCGGUAAUAC
rnacentral:rRNA from 1 species